UAAACGACUCUCGGCAACGGAUAUCUCGGCUCUCGCAUCGAUGAAGAACGUAGCGAAAUGCGAUACUUGGUGUGAAUUGCAGAAUCCCGUGAACCAUCGAGUUUUUGAACGCAAGUUGCGCCCGAAGCCACUAGGCCGAGGGCACGUCUGCCUGGGCGUCACACGUCGUUGCCCCUCCCAACCCCUUCGGGAGUUGGCUGGGACGGAUGAUGGCCUCCCGUGUGCUCCGUCGCGCGGUUGGCAUAAAUAGCAA
rnacentral:rRNA from 1 species